rnacentral:tRNA from 1 species
UCUCAUUCAAUAAACCAUCGGAGUUACCGUAAAUACGACCGUAUGAGAACUGAGUAAAUACAUUAAGGGGCAAUGA